rnacentral:rRNA from 1 species
AGGGAAUCUUCCACAAUGGACGCAAGUCUGAUGGAGCAACGGCCGCGUGAGUGAAGAAGGUUUUCGGACCGUAAAGCUCUGUUGUUGGUGAAGAAGGAUAGAGGUAGUAACUGGCCUUUAUUUGACGGUAAUCAACCAGAAAGUCACGGCUAACUACGUGCCAGCAGCCGCGGUAAUCUAGGUGGCAAGCGUUGUCCGGAUUUAUUGGGCGUAAAGCGAGCGCAGGCGGAAGAAUAAGUCUGAUGUGAAAGCCCUCGGCUUAACCGAGGAAUUGCAUCGGAAACUGUUUUCUUGAGUGCAGAAGAGGAGAGUAGAACUCCAUGUGUAGCGGUGGAAUGCGUAGAUAUAUGGAAGAAUACCAGUGGCGAAGGCGGCUCUCUGGUCUGCAACUGACGCUGAGGCUCGAAAGCAUGGGUAGCGAACAGGAUUAGAUACCCUGGUGUCCAUGCCGUAAACGAUGAGUGCUAAGUGUUGGGAGGCUUCCGCCUCUCAGUGCUGCAGCUAACGCAUUAAGCACUCCGCCUGGGGGAGUACGACCGCAAGGUUGAAAC